UGAGGAAUAUUGGUCAAUGGACGCAAGUCUGAACCAGCCAAGUAGCGUGCAGGAUGACGGCCCUAUGGGUUGUAAACUGCUUUUAUAUGGGGAUAAAGUGGGGAACGUGUUCCCUUUUGCAGGUACCAUAUGAAUAAGGACCGGCUAAUUCCUUGCCAGCAGCCGCGGUAAUACGGAAGGUUCGGGCGUUAUCCGGAUUUAUUGGGUUUAAAGGGAGCGUAGGCCGUUUGGUAAGCGUGUUGUGAAAUGUAGGAGCUCAACUUCUAGAUUGCAGCGCGAACUGUCAGACUUGAGUGCGGACAAGGUAGGCGGAAUUCAUGGUGUAGCGGUGAAAUGCUUAGAUAUCAUGAAGAACUCCGAUUGCGAAGGCAGCUUACGGGAGCGCAACUGACGCUGAAGCUCGAAGGUGCGGGUAUCGAACAGG
rnacentral:rRNA from 1 species